UCAAAGGGUACCUCCGGCAGCCACCUUACGAUUAAUGUCUAACCAUGGAGCACAACUAUGGUCAGUCAUUGUGAUAGGGAACUGCAGUGCCUGGAGAAAACCCACAACUUUCAGUAGAGCAUUGGAAUUCAUGGCAAUUUGCACUUUUGAUUGAAAAUGCCGGAUCAUUCCAGAAAAACUGCAUCCAAGGCAAAGUUUGGCAAUUGUGACCUAAUAUUUUAAAAAUUUAUUUGACGUAAAUUAAAUUAUGGGUUUGAUUCUCACUGCAUUGCAGACUCGUUACACCUAGUAUGUAAAUUGUGGAGUUACAAACAUUAUGUUUAGAUAUUAGUUUAACCCAUUGAGUUGCACCAGUACUCGAGACCAUUUCUGCCUAUAUAUAAUUACAUACUGCAAGACGGCUAAUGUCCCACCUAUCCUUGGGGUGUGGGUAUUACACCUUCCAAUUUUUGGUGUAUAAAUAUUAUUAUAUUAAAAAUUAUUAACACAGUACAGACGUCAACAGUCCAUACAGUACAGUUAACAGUUUAUAGCAUGUAUCUACAGUUAAUAUUGAAUGUCACCAGCAUUACAGCUUGUAUAUACUAUACAGUAUACACUUGACCUAUACGACAUAGUCUAUUGAUAUAUCAUAUAGUUUAUAUUGGAUUAGUGUUUAUAUUGUGUGUACUUGAUAUGUUUGAAAUAUAUUUAUUCACCAAAUAUUUAUAUAAAAAUGAAAAAUAUAUUUCUACUUCACCUUUAAUUUUCAUUUAGACACGGUCUUCUUUAGUACGACGAUCAGAUUAGAAUAAUGACAAUACUUGUCAGAAUCGAUGAAGGAUAUUUUUGCUCGAAAAGGCGAGAGUCGAAGGAAAAAUCAAAUAACAUCAAAUCGAAUUUUAUAUCCAAGUCUGACAUUUGAAUAUCAUUGUGCUUUUGGUUUUCCUCGUAGAACGCUCGUAACUGAUUUCCGAAGAUUUUGGCAAACUCGUACCCAGUCUUCUCGCGGUUACCUUAUUUUGAAGUAUACUAUCUAGC